UACAGAGGGGGCAAGCGUUUAUUCGGAAUUAUUGGGCGUAAAGGGCGCGUAGGCGGCCUGGCAAGUGGAAGGUGAAAUCCCUCGGCUUAACCGAGGAACUGCCUCCCAAACUGCUUGGCUUGAGACCAGGAGAGGUGAGUGGAAUUCCCAGUGUAGCGGUGAAAUGCGUAGAUAUCGGGAGGAACAUCCAGUGGCGAAGGCG
rnacentral:rRNA from 1 species